rnacentral:rRNA from 1 species
CCUACGGGAGGCAGCAGUGGGGAAUAUUGGGCAAUGGGCGCAAGCCUGACCCAGCAACGCCGCGUGAAGGAAGAAGGCUUUCGGGUUGUAAACUUCUUUUGUCAGGGAAGAGUAGAAGACGGUACCUGACGAAUAAGCCACGGCUAACUACGUGCCAGAAGCCGCGGUAAUACGUAGGUGGCAAGCGUUGUCCGUAUUUACUGGGUGUAAAGGGCGUGUAGCCGGGUUGACAAGUCAGAUGUGAAAUCCUGCGGCUUAACCGCAGAACUGCAUUUGAAACUGUUGAUCUUGAGUACUGGAGAGGCAGACGGAAUUCCUAGUGUAGCGGUGAAAUGCGUAGAUAUUAGGAGGAACACCAGUGGCGAAGGCGGUCUGCUGGACAGCAACUGACGGUGAGGCGCGAAAGCGUGGGGAGCAAACAGGAUUAGAUACCCCAGUAGUC